ACGGAAGGCAGCAGUGGGGAAUAUUGGGCAAUGGGGGGAACCCUGACCCAGCAACGCCGCGUGGAGGAAGAAGGUCUUCGGAUCGUAAACUCCUGUCCUAAGGGAAGAGGAGAGGACUGUACCUUAGGAGGAAGCACCGGCAAACUUCGUGCCAGCAGCCGCGGUAAUACGAGGGGUGCAAGCGUUGUUCGGAAUCACUGGGCGUAAAGGGAGCGCAGGCGGAGAUGCAAGCAGUCUGUACAAUACCGGGGCCCAACCCCGGACCUGCAGACUGGACUGUUUCUCUUGGAUAGUUCAGGGGCAAGCGGAAUUCCUGGUGUAGCGGUGGAAUGCGUAGAGAUCAGGAAGAACACCGAUGGCGAAGGCAGCUUGCUGGGGACUUAUCGACGCUCAUGCUCGAAAGUGCGGGUAGCAAACAGGAUUAGAUACCCUGGUA
rnacentral:rRNA from 1 species